AAAGGAAUAGACGGGGGCCCGCACAAGCGGUGGAUCAUGUGGUUUAAUUCGAAGCAACGCGAAGAACCUUACCUGGAUUUGACAUCCCGAUGAAUAUUUUUAGAGAUAGAAAUAGGCUCGCAAGAGACAUUGGAGACAGGUGCUGCAUGGCUGUCGUCAGCUCGUGUUGUGAAAUGUUGGGUUAAGUCCCGCAACGAGCGCAACCCCUGCUUUUGGUUGCCAUCAUUAAGUUGGGCACUCCAGAAGGACUGCCGUCGUUAAGACGGAGGAAGGUGGGGAUGACGUCAAGUCCUCAUGGCCUUUAUAUCCAGGGCGACACACGUGAUACAAUGGUAGGUACAAAGGGUAGCCAAGUGGUGACACGGAGCCAAUCCCAAAAAACCUAUCUCAGUUCGGAUUGGAGUCUGCAAUUCGACUCCAUGAAGUUGGAAUCGCUAGUAAUCGCGGAUCAGCACGCCGCGGUGAAUACGUUCCCGGGCCUUGUACACACCGCCCGU
rnacentral:rRNA from 1 species